GACGAACGCUGGCGGCGUGCCUAAUACAUGCAAGUAGAACGCUGAAGGAGGAGCUUGCUUCUCUGGAUGAGUUGCGAACGGGUGAGUAACGCGUAGGUAACCUGCCUGGUAGCGGGGGAUAACUAUUGGAAACGAUAGCUAAUACCGCAUAAGAGUAGAUGUCGCAUGACAUUUGCUUAAAAGGUGCAAUUGCAUCACUACCAGAUGGACCUGCGUUGUAUUAGCCAGUUGGUGAGGUAACGGCUCACCAAGGCAACGAUACAUAGCCGACCUGAGAGGGUGAUCGGCCACACUGGGACUGAGACACGGCCCAGACUCCUACGGGAGGCAGCAGUAGGGAAUCUUCGGCAAUGGACGGAAGUCUGACCGAGCAACGCCGCGUGAGUGAAGAAGGUUUUCGGAUCGUAAAGCUCUGUUGUAAGAGAAGAACGAGUGUGAGAGUGGAAAGUUCACACUGUGACGGUAUCUUACCAGAAAGGGACGGCUAACUACGUG
rnacentral:rRNA from 1 species